CCUACUACCUUUGCGAAAGGUAUUGAUAACAGGAACAACACUCACAUCAUUGGGUAACCUUACAUUACACUCACAUCAUUGGGUAACCUUACAUUGCAUAGGCAUCUCAAUCAUUUCUUUGGCGUGAGUCCAUCCCCUCCCACAUCAUCUGACACACUACUUUUUCCAAUGACUGGAAUGUGAAGACUUCUUUGUACUGGAGUUGAACUCUUAUUUAGCUUUACAAUCUAGAUUUCAGAUUUGCUAAAUUUUUUGAAUUACCUUACCAAGCUCCAGAUAAGCUUUCCACAAAUCUAAAGUAGAUAGGAAACACUACAGCCAUUGGCCAAUGAGGACUAUUAUUACAUGAUGAGAGCAAUUCCGGAUCAUGAUGAGGCAAUCUCACUAAACACCUGCUCUUGGAAGGUCAACAAAG
rnacentral:lncRNA from 1 species